GUAUCUUUCCCUUUCUAUCAAUAUCUCUCUCUUUUAAGAAGCACUCCCUCAAUCUCUCUCUCUCCAUAAGCUAAUUUCUCUGGGUUUAUAUACUUCUUCAUCUUAAGGAUGGAACAAGAGAAAGCUCCAAGGAAGACACCAAACCCAGCCUAUGGUCGUUUGUUCACAUAAACGUAACAAGAGGAAGUUGGAAAUAUGAGUAUCAAAGAGAGGUAACUGACAAAAAGAUACUGUUUCAAUUAAAUGGAAUCAUGCAUGGUGAUCUAAGAGGCGCUACCAUCAGCUUUCGGAAGGAAGAUAGGAACACAAGGCUGUUUCGAAUACGGUACUUGCUUGAAUAAUAUGGACAAGCUACAAGAAAGAAACUACUGAUGUUCUGAAGAUGCAUCUGCGAUAUACACACGAGAAUGCAAAUACAGAUUUGAAGAUGCAUCUGUGAUAUACACACGAGGGCGCAAAUGGCUGCACCUUUUAGACUAACUUACAAGAUGUAUAUAACUUACUACAUAGCAUUUGGUGUUAAUUAACAAAGUUGACCACUUAUCCUAAAUUCUGUUGUUGAAGUGUUGGUCGUUGGGCCCGUGCUCUGCACGGGCAGCCAGCAUCUAGUCUAUUAUAUAGAAAAGGCAAGUGUGGUCGACCAAGGGUAAAAUUAUCUUUAUACUCUCAGUCUAGAAUUGUCUUUUCGAUUUCCUUCAUCUCUCUCAUAUUCCUCUGUAUCUUCAUUUGCCAUAAAACACGAACUCCUACUCAGAGAUUUUCGUGUUUGUUUCUCUCUAACUCUUUCCUUCUCUUUUUCGAUCUCUUCUUUCCCAAGUUUUAAGACCAUACUGAUGGAAUUUGGUUCUACUUCUGAAUUUGAUCCUAAUUAAUUAGUUGCCUUUCGAA